GGUUCCAUGGUUUAAUGGUUAGAGCACGCUGGACUUUGAACCCAGUUAUCCGAGUUCAAAUCUCGGUGGAACCU